CCAUGGCCAUUAAGUUGUUGACAGUGCAUUGAAUACGCUUUCUGAAUAUAAAUCAUACCACACAGACCAAGAAGUAAAUGAAAAAAAAAGGUUUCUUAAAUGGAAAAAACAGUGUAUGUUGACAAAAUACUUGACCAUAGCGCUCAGAGGGUGUCAAAGCUCAAUGCUGAUACACAUAGUGAUAAUCAUCUCAAAUACUUCUGAAUGAAUGUGGGGAUAUAACAGCUUUGUCAUCUUAUGUAGAAACACAUGGUUGGAAGAAUGUAAAACUGGUAAAGCAGAAGGACUACCAUCAAAACCAGCUCCUCAGUCUUGGACAUUUCAGCCUCUAGAACUGUAAGCCAGUUUACAUAAAGGGAAUGAAGAACAUUGACAAGAGAUGAAGUUGAAGGCCAUGGCAAGGAAUUUGAAUAUUAUUCCUCGUUGAAUGG